UUUCUCUCGCUAUCUCAGAUCCAAAACGUAUCUCCCCUGUGAAAAAACCAGGACAUCCAUCAUUUAGUUUCCUUAGAUUUCAUUGUUAUACAUGGAACACGCAGGUUCCUCUUUAGUGCUUAUUUUGUUCCUAUGGUUAAUCUUGGGGAUGUUUUACCUGAUUUUGGUAUUUGAUUUCGUUACAAGGGAAGAUGAAUCUCCGUUUUUGGGUAACAAAAGAUGUUCUCCAUGAUUUUGUUUUUGAUUGCCUUCCCAGAAAAGAUGAAUAACCAGUUUUAUUUUUGGGAACAACAAUCAGAUUGCAGAUUGACAGAAUGGCUACUACUGUUCUUCCAACCCCCACAUCGGUAGUACCGACUUUUGGAAUCCUAACACUGAAAGACUUUCAGCAAAAAAAUGGAAUUGGACCAUGGAUGACCCGAGUUCGCAUUGUCCGGUUGUGGCACGAAUCGGACUUCAUGACAACUAAUGAUGUUACCAACCUUGAUUUGCUCCUGCUGGAUGACACCGGUGACCUCAUUCACGCAAUUUUUCAGAAGAAAUUCAUCUAGAAAUUUGAACCCCUGCUAGAAGAGGGGAUGAUGUUGUGUCUUAAAAAUUUGACAUUUGCCCAAAAAAAAAAAUGUUCCGCCCCACCCAGAAUGACUACCGCGCAUACUUUAACUGGAAUACCGAUAUUACUCCUCUUGAAACCACCGGUGCGUCGAUGCCUCGCCACAAGUUCACUUUCACUGAGUUUGAGGACCUUGCAGCUGCUACCGCCAAUACUUACCUUACUGGUGACUUCAUUGAAUAUUACAUCUGUUGCUUCCCAAAUUGUGCUUAAAUCACCUAAUAUUUCCUUAUUGUUGUUUGCAGAUGUUGUAGGCGUGUUAACCAUCCACACAAACUUGCAGCAGCUUAAGCGAACUUCUGGCAACGCAUGUUUCAUGCGUGAACUAACACUGGAAAACAUAAGCGGUGUGAAGCUUAAGGUCACACUAUGGGGUGAGUCCACUUCUGAGCUUACCGGGAACCUGUAAGGAUAUGUGUUUAUUGUGCUCGCUGGUGUUCAUCUGGUGAGACCUAGAUAUGCCGUGCAGUUUUUUUUCCAAUUCUUGGAUAUAUGUCAAUAUGAAUACAUUUGAAAUGAACUGAGAAACAUUACUUUAAAUCCUAAUGGGGUGGACCAGCUAGAAGGGAACUUUAGUCCUGGCGUAUUAUAAAAAGGGAUGGUGCUGGAUCAAGUUAAAGAAAUGGCAGUGGUGUCGUUUAACAAUUUGGUUUGGAGCAAGUGGUUACAUAUUGAAGGUUCUUGUAUAGCAUAGUCAAUUUUUCAUAAUGUUUUGCCUCCAAGAGUGACGUUUCAGCGUAUUAGGGAGUCCAAGUACUGUUUUAUGUAUGAUUGUUGUGUUCAACGGAAGUGGAAGAUACAAGUGUCAUGCUGAUACAUUAUGAGCUUGCUUUAACUGUUUGAAAUUUCUUCAUUUUAUCCUUGGGAUUAAGCUGGGUGCUGUCAAGGGGUGUUCAAACUCAAUCUGAAGUUUGAGCUAUAAUAAGCUACAAGGCAUAGAACUAUUGGUGCGAAGGUUCUGUGUGCAGUAGUUUGGGAGAUAUGGAAGAAGGCAGUGCUAGAUUGUAUGUGAAGCAAGCAAAAAUAUUAUCUAAUAUUGUCAGUAACAGUCUCAUUCUCCAGGGUUCUAAUGAUAUCUCAUUCAGGGGAUACUCUAUUUCACAAUUUAUUUUCAAUUGGGACUUGGGGGGAGACUGAAAUGACGAGCACCGUUGUUCGUCCUUGAUAAAUAUUUUUGUUCUUUAAUAAAUUUAUUGGAAGUUCGGUUCACUGAUU